UAGAGUUUGGAUCAUGGCUCAGAUUGAACGCUGGCGGCAGGCCUAACACAUGCAAGUCGAGCGGUAGAGAGAAGCUUGCUUCUCUUGAGAGCGGCGGACGGGUGAGUAAUGCCUAGGAAUCUGCCUGGUAGUGGGGGAUAACGUUCGGAAACGGACGCUAAUACCGCAUACGUCCUACGGGAGAAAGCAGGGGACCUUCGGGCCUUGCGCUAUCAGAUGAGCCUAGGUCGGAUUAGCUAGUUGGUGAGGUAAUGGCUCACCAAGGCGACGAUCCGUAACUGGUCUGAGAGGAUGAUCAGUCACACUGGAACUGAGACACGGUCCAGACUCCUACGGGAGGCAGCAGUGGGGAAUAUUGGACAAUGGGCGAAAGCCUGAUCCAGCCAUGCCGCGUGUGUGAAGAAGGUCUUCGGAUUGUAAAGCACUUUAAGUUGGGAGGAAGGGCAUUAACCUAAUACGUUAGUGUUUUGACGUACCGACAG
rnacentral:rRNA from 1 species